rnacentral:rRNA from 4 species
UGGGGAAUAUUGCACAAUGGAGGGAACUCUGAUGCAGCGACGCCGCGUGAACGAAGAAGGCUUUCGAGUCGUAAAGUUCUUUUAUAUGGGAAGAUAAUGACGGUACCAUAAGAAAAAGCCCCGGCUAACUACGUGCCAGCAGCCGCGGUAAUACGUAGGGGGCUAGCGUUGUCCGGAAUCACUGGGCGUAAAGGGUUCGCAGGCGGAAAUGCAAGUCAGGUGUAAAAGGCAGUAGCUUAACUACUGUAAGCAUUUGAAACUGCAUAUCUUGAGAAGAGUAGAGGUAAGUGGAAUUUUUAGUGUAGCGGUGAAAUGCGUAGAUAUUAAAAAGAAUACCGGGGGCGAAGGCGACUUACUGGGCUCAUUCUGACGCUGAGGAACGAAAGCGUGGGUAGCAAACAGG